rnacentral:rRNA from 1 species
AUUAAACGCUGGCGGCAUGCCUUACACAUGCAAGUCGAACGGCAGCACGGGGGCAACCCUGGUGGCGAGUGGCGGACGGGUGAGUAAAGCAUCGGAACGUAUCCUGGAGUGGGGGAUAACGUAGCGAAAGUUACGCUAAUACCGCAUAUUCUGUGAGCAGGAAAGCAGGGGAUCGCAAGACCUUGCGCUCUGGGAGCGGCCGAUGUCGGAUUAGCUAGUUGGUGGGGUAAAGGCCUACCAAGGCGACGAUCCGUAGCGGGUCUGAGAGGAUGAUCCGCCACACUGGGACUGAGACACGGCCCAGACUCCUACGGGAGGCAGCAGUGGGGAAUUUUGGACAAUGGGCGCAAGCCUGAUCCAGCCAUGCCGCGUGAGUGAAGAAGGCCUCGGGUU